rnacentral:misc_RNA from 1 species
UUGAACACCGACCGUCGUCCCGCGCUAUCUUCACAGCGGACAACGCGUUCCAUAUUCAAACCGACGCGUUCUAAACUCAAAAAACGUGUCUAUUAUCACCUUAUUUUUAUAUUUUUGUAAAAAGAAUACUUGUGACGUAUUUGUGUAACAGCCAGUACUUUUCGCGAAACUGUUUUCGAAUUUAUUUACUGUAUUGGAAACUUUUUAAUGAAUAUUUUAUUGGUAAACCCAAUGCAAACAGUGGUUAAACUAACAUGACAAGCAAACAAAGUUAAAGUGUGAUAUAAUCGGCGUCUGUCGGGGAUUCGCGUUGUUACUAAAAUAAACUCCAUCAAACAGAUAUAAUUAUACCACUGAAUGUAAACAGGGAAUGAACGAAUGAACUGAAGUAGGUAUCUGAGCACUUCAACCAAUUGUAUAAACAAUGAUGUUGCGGUCGGUACCUUUGUAUACUUUAUGACCUAUACUCUGUAGCGUCUACAUAAUAGACCACAAAAUAGAAGUGUAUUUCAAAGUGAUUGAAUUAAAAAUAAAGUGCAGAUUAGUGCAAAGUCAUGGGAUUUCAAACACUACAACGUUAAAUGUAUCACUUUGGUUGAAAGGAUUUUCCGGGACUUCACGCCAAGUAUCGAUCAAGAUGCCGCUUCCAAAAUUAAAGCGAUGUUGCGGAUGUGUGCCGUUGGAGACAGGAUGCAUCGCUCUGGGUUUCAUAUCAUUUAUGGCGUGCAUCGCAGCGAUCGGAGUGUGCUCAUGGAAGCUUCCAGAACACAAGGAGCAGCAGAAUGAAGACAACCUGGUGCUCCUCAGCAUGACCAUGUUUGCCACGCUGUCUGCCAUCAGCAACCUCACUGUCCUUGCUGGGAUCGCGCUGAAGCGGCCAUCAUUCCUACAGCUGGCGAUCCUGUCCAACUCUGUGUUCAUCCUGUGCAUAUUCCUGAUCUCCAUAGUCACGUGUCUCUUCAGCCCUGGUCUCGAGCCCCAUCUGCAGUCAGCCGGGAACAUCACUCUGGUCGUCAUACUGCUUAUCAGUGGAGCUGUGUAUUCAAUGUACUACAUGACUAUAGUAAACAGUCAAUAUACGAAGAUGAAGAUGGCAUACGGAGACAGCGCCAUACCGGUGUGACAGUGAAUGUUUUACUGUGUUCAAUGAUAACACAGAACUAUGAACUUUACAGUGAUACUUACGUAUAUAAACCCUCGCUUAUACCCCUAAUGGGGUGGGCAGAGCCACAAGUAGCAGAAGACUUGCAGCCACUUUUGAUACGAAGGGAUACGAAGUCCGAGAAUGGAUUUAUUGAACCUUAUGGUGUAGUUAGGUAAGCGAGUAACUAGAUGUCGCUAACCGUAUAGCUUACAUGUGAAAGUAGCGCCAUCUAGUGACGGUGUGUCGUAUCAUUAUGGACACUUUAUGGACACUUCGACAGUUAGUACAAAUGCUCGCCACUGGCGCUCCAUUUGCGCGCGAAAUAGCGGCAACUUUUCUAGUAUGGCGAAGCAAGGAUCUCUCUGUUUUACGUAGUACCUAUAUUAAUUAUCCCAUGCUAACGGUAUUUAAACAGAUUCCCUUGCUCCUCUAUUGGAACGGCAGAAUAGAAUCUCAGAAUUUGAAAACGAAUAGUGUCUGCAAGGUAUCUUCUGGCAGCUUGUGGUAAAACAUUUGUCUAGUCUUUAAGAUGCUAAAGUAUUUUCAACGUCUGAUUAUAAUGUGGUGGUUUACACGUCCACCAAUCUGCAGUGGAGCAGCGUGGUGAAGUAUAUACCCCACAUCUCCUUCGGUUGAUUGAGGAGAGGUCUGUUUGACAUAGGUAUAUAGUAUAAGGUAUAAGCCUUAGACUGUUUGUUAUAAAUUAUAAUGAUGAUAUUCAGGGUUAUUAGUGACAUCGUAACGAAAACUUUGAAGGAUGAUUCAGACCUUGAUUCUGAGUUCUAGUGGAAUUUCCUGUCGGAAAUUUCAUGAAAAAUUAGUUUAUUUUUUAAUUAAUUUAAAAAUUUUCAGUUCCAUAAUAUUAUUAUGCUUUGAGCUGCAUAGAACACUAAAAAGGAACAUUGCAAAUCAAACAAUCGUCUAGCGACAUUUCGCGUUGUUCGAUUUACAUUACGCCGCAGCAAAAACUUUAAAUUUUAAUUAAAGUUUUCAAAGAAAACAAUUCUAGAAAUUUGUUUUUGCUACGGUGUCACUAACACCCUGUAUAAGGUUGAAUAUUUCGCUUUUCUUGUUUACAAAGGCAGAUAACUUAGCUUGUAAGUCAAUAAUUUACCGAACGAACGCCAAUUCUAUUGCAGAAGCAACAUAACUGUAUUGAAUAUCGAUUGCGCUAUAUUAUUGAUAGCAUUCGGAACGUGUACAAAGUCAAGGCCCCUUCAAAUUACUAGGCCGAGCCCUUCUUCAUUUAAGACAUAAUAACAAUAAAUUACUGUCCAAAAGUUUAUGGGCAUCCUUGGCCAUGUUGUGGAGGCCCUAUCACACAAGGACGCCAUAGUGGCACAUACAAAUGUAAACGCAGGGCUAGCUAACAUUUACCCCGAUACCCUCAUUCAGCGCUUAUCGCUAUCGACCCUCUAGGGUCGAUUAAUUCUUUCAAAUAUUUUUCCUCUCAGACGACGCCCUGAGCAGAGGUUCGAGCGCAACUGGGUUGCCCAAACUGCGGCAACUAGGUAUGUAACCAGCCUCAACUCAGGGUUAGGUAUUCUGUUGCAUAGUGAUAUACCAUUAUAAGAAAUCUCAGAUAAAUUACACAAAGUGUUAGUGACGUAAUGAAUACUGAGCGCGAUGGUUCUGACCAUGAUUCUGAGUUGAUAUCAAGUGGAAUUUCCGGUCGGAAAAUGUAUAAUUAUUUUUUUUACUAUUUUCUAUUCUAUACUUUUGCGACGGAAAAUUGUACUUGAUAUCAUUUCAGAAUCAUGGUCUGAAUCAUCAGUAUUCGUUACGAUGUCACUUACACCUCGUACAAGUACAUACAGAAAGCCAUACAAGUAGGUAUGGGUGUUAGUGACGACGUAAUGAAUACUGAGCGGUAUGAUUCAGACCAUGAUUCUAAGUUGACAUCAAGUGGAAUUUCCUGUCGGAAAAUUCAUAAUUAUUUUUUAUUAUUAUCUAUUCUAUACUUUUGCGACGGAAAAUUGCUCUUGAUAUCAUCCCUGAAUCAUGGUCUGAAUCAUCCCUCAAAGUUUUUGUUACGAUGUCACUAACACCCUGUAGAUGGGAGUUGACUUAAGGCUAGCUUAACACAAUUUUCUUGUCACGACGUCGUGUCGUAGAUUUCCACGACGCGACGUCGUAUCGUGUUUAUGUGUGGGAGCCCUUAGGUUAUUACUUUUAUAAGUUAACAAACCCGCGUUGGCGCUGGUUAAUGCUCUUUACCACCUUCACUAGAUUGACGGAAAGCGUGUGCUGUGUACAAUAUUACUUGCUUGAUGUGUUCGUUUAGUUCGGAAAAUACCAGUCAUUGAAACGUAAUUUUUAUUGAUGUAAUACGCCGUCAGUGAAAUAUAGCUUAAGUUUCGUAAGAUUUUCGUAAGAAUGAAAGUUAAUUAAAUUAAAUAUGUUUUAUGAUAAAAUGUAAUAAUCGAGCUUUUUUAUAAAUGGAAAAUAUUUUAUACUGUAAACUAAGCAGGUGCCUAUGUAAAAAUAUAAAUAAUUAUUAUAAAGGAAAUAUAUUAUUAUACUCUACUACGCAUAAACAGUUUCAAUCAGUUGCCUAAAUGUUUACUUAAAUAAAACAUUUUAAAAAUAUUAUACGAGUUAUAAGUGAUUUAUAAAAUAAAACAAAACAUAAUUAUUUAACCUUUUUAUUUAAAUACUCAGUGCAUUUAUAUAACAAAGCGUUGUACAACAAUCACAAACAUCAAAAUUUCUAUAAAAUUAAAUUCAAUUUUAUACAUUUUAUGUAAAAAAUAAAUGUCACGACAUUUAAAGCGUUUUUAAUUGAUCGAUAGUUGUGCGAACAUUCGCGGGUUUAAAGGUCUUCCUCACUAUAGCAUUUGACUCACAGAAUGUUGAAUACUUGUGCUAUAACGCCAUUUAGAUACAGAAUUCACUUAGCAGAUGUUAUGCAGUACAUAGGUAAAUAAUUUUACACAAAAUAUUUCACUCAUCAAACGCUCGAUCAAAGCUUUUUCGAUAUACUUAAAUUAAAAGUACUUUAAACCGCGAUGUUACCACUAAAAAUUACACAAGAUACUGGUUCAAAUACAUAUAUCAAGUACUUUCUGUAAAGAGAAAAUUAUUAGAUAAUAUAUUAUUUUAUAGUCCACAUAUGUGCCAGGAGUAUUUUUCAAGUAACCUUACUUUUAAAUAAUUUUGAAAAUGGAUUUCUGAAACAAAUAAAUUCCAAUCACAUUAAAUACCUCAAAACAACGUAAAUACACAUAUGUUUGAAAAGAGCCAUCUCCUCGUAUCGAAUAAAUAUUCAAAAGUACAAGGAAAAUAAUAAAAAAUCCUUUUGAACCAGUUCCUUUUGACACAGUUUAAUAAAUACAUGCACUGAACACACGCGACAUAACAGUGACAACCGAAACCCAUCACAUCCAAUGGGACGCGCAAUUUGAAAACUUCGCAGAAUUCAGCUUUGCGAAUUCACAAGUUCUAGCUUCGCGAAUUCGAAAGCUCUGGCUUCGCAACUUCACAUGUCACAUCACCGUUACUGAUAUAUUUCGGUCGUGACUUCGCAACCUCAUAAACUUCUUACGCUUAUAAAACACUCUAACAAACAUCUAAUAGUACUUCAUAUUCAUAACAUCAGAAUACACCCACAAUGAAUAAAUAUACAAUAUAGUAUAUAGUGUAUGCGUUUUCAAGAUUAUAAUACUAUCAAAAACAAAAUAUAGAAUAUCCGAAGGUAGAAGAUAAACUUUCAAAAUACAAUAAAGUUUCAAAAUAUUAAAUGUCCCGUUCCACGAGCGUCUCUUUUCAGUAAUAAAAUAUAAACCCAGUUACCCGGUGAAAAACCUCAAUAUUGUUAUUAAAUUGUUGAGUAAAAAUAGGUAAAUACCUAUGUAAUAAAUAUAAGUAAUCAUUUCAUAAAUAAAUAGGGACUAUUAAUUUUAUAAUAUUCUUAAACAUAGAAAUUUUGAGAAGCAAAUAGAAAGAUUUAUUUUAUUAUAUUUUCAUCAUAAUUUUUUACUAUUAUUAUUGGCAAAUUCAGAGUUUUUAUUUCACUUGUCAUACAUUAUAAACAUAUAAGCAAUGAAACAUUAGAUAAAAUAUAUCUAUUUGCUUCUCUAUAAACGUACAUAAAUAAAUGUCUGGACAUAAUUUUAGCAAGAUUUUAAUUAAAGCGAAGGACGUGUUAUUGUCAUUUUUAUUUUCUUUAUAUUGGUUCUACACGAGACACGUAGAUACAUCUAAAAGUACGGCAAGUAUAUACAGAAUGUUCCUUUCUUUUUCUCUCCAGUGGAUUGUGAGAUCAAUGACCGACGUCAUCAACGCACCAUUCCUUCAACUACCAGAGAAGAUAAUAAAAACUUUUCUUUCUCUGUCCCAGCAAAUAUCAGUCACGAUUUACGAUGAAUGUUAAGGUUAUUUCUUAUAAUUUAUAGGGUAUUUUGUAAACUUUUUCGUGUAUCUCACACUAAGUAUAUCCCGCGAAAAAUAGAAAACACUCAGCAGGAGAUAGCUACAUACACAUGUGGUAGCUAUUAUGUAUGAUUUCGCUUGAACAUUUCUAUUUUUUGGAAGAUCCUGUAUUACUUACCGUUAUGGCCUUAAUUUAUCAAAAUACCAUAUACAUUAUGUUCGACGAAGAGAGCGAAAUCCAAGCAUUUUAUAUAGAAAAAAAAUUAAUUCUUUAGCAAAGUAUUGGAAUUAGUAGUCAUAAUAUAAAAGCGACUCUAUAUUAUUAGUAUAUUUUUUAAAUGAUAGAAAAAUGCUUGGAAUUCACUCACUCAAUAAUUAUACAUGGCUACAUAAAUACAAUUUCUACAGAUACACAUUUUACAAAUCGAAUAUUAUUACCCAUUAAUAGAAUUUAUUUCUGCUAAAUAUUAUUUAAUAAUAUUUCGCUGAUUAUAAUAUCCGCAUAAAGAUAUGUAUAGUACGAGAUAUAGAGGUACAUAAGACGUGAUACAUUGGCAUUGUUUACAUAGUUAUAGAGCUCGAAAAUAUGAAAGCAUAAAAUAAGCAUUCAGUACUAUCUGCAACCAUUUAUUAUUUAUAAGAAAAAAAUUUAUCAAAAAUUAUGUACUUAUCGCUUACUUAUAAAUUCCACUGAGAUGCGUUAAAUUGUUAAGUAGAAAUUGCGUCUAAAAAGACUACGGUCCUUUUUGGAACCACAUGGUUUAAAAAAUCAGUAAACCUGGUAAUAGGUACAUGGGAAACGCGUCAAAAGUGUGGACAACUUGAAAAAAAGAGACUAACAUAUAUUUUUUCAAUAAGUAACUUUUAAAUGCCUUCGAUAUGUAUAUAACAUAGAAAAUAUGUAUACAUAUAAAUAUAUACGUAUAAAAUAUGUCACUGAUACCUUAAGCUCUUCUGUUUAACAACCUAGGCUACAUAGCUAUCAUGAGUCGCAGCGCGCUGUCAGAACUAAUUACUAUAUUAACUUUUUGAUACGUCUAUGAACAAGAUUAUAGCUUGUAAACACACGACAGCAAUUUUGUAAUAAAUCCUAUACUUUAUGCACUCAAACGAUAUGAUAUAUUUAACAUGUUUAUAAUUUUCUUCUAACACCAAUUACUUUCAAAACAAACUACUAUAAUAAUAAACUAUAUUUUCAAAACGAAAA